rnacentral:lncRNA from 1 species
UUGAUUUGGAUACAUAAAGUGGUGGAGAAUCACCAGGAAGUUGAAUAAAUCUCAUAGGAGUUGGGAUGAAGAAGUUAUCCCACUUUCAAAUCAGGUCAUUCCAGUUUCCCAGUUUGGGAAUAGGACAGCUUGUUCGUCGUUCCAAUCAAACCAGGAUGAAUCACUUGGUGAAAAGCUUGAUUUGGAUACAUAAAGUGGUGGAGAAUCACCAGGAAGUUGAAUAAAUCUCAUAGGAGUUGGGAUGAAGAAGUUAUCCCACUUUCAAAUCAUG